AGCCGUGUUGUGAGCCACCAAGUGAACUAUUCUUUCGCCUUUUACUAAAGAAUACCGUGUGCUCGCCACUUGUAGCGGCAUACACCUAUUUUUGGAGGGGUUGUACUUAGGGAU